CUACAGCAGCGGACACAUUAGCGAAUGCAGCAAACAAGCGAACUUUCCAUAGAAAGCACUGAGUUGAAUCGGCGUGCGCGAAAAUUUACAUUUCGAUUUAAACACUAUAGCUUUCAGUUACUUAUUCAGUACAAAAUCGUAGCACCAGCAAGCAACCGUGAUUGUGCGUUGUAUUUCCUUAUCCAACUUCAAUAUUGUGACUGUCAACAGUGAAGAGAGAGCCGACAGGAGAUAUUCCAUAUAAUCCUCGUCCACUAACAGACUCAUGCCUUUUGCUGCAUUGUCUAGUCUGCAAAGCGCUCUGCAACUACUAAUUUUACUGCCAACUAAUCCUCUCCUGUUUCUCACAAUUCUAGGAAAUUGACCACAAAUGUGAAAAGUGUCAGUAUUUUCCAGAUGAAAUUGCAGCUCUUGAAUCCCUUUCAGUUGCUCGAAAUAGUCGGAUUUUCUUGAAAACGACUCACAAAGCGAAGCAUUGUCCCUUGAGAAGGUGAAGAAGAUUGUAUUUUGAAUGCUUUCAUUUUAAGAUCUCUCCACUGUCUUUGUUUCCACUCUCCAAUUGCGUGCUGGAUGUGGUCUAUUCGGUCGAGUAUUACCCAAUUAUGAAUGCUGGGUCUCAAGAUGAGUAUAUGUAGGAGGAGCUAUUCAAAUAGUAUGUUCAGUAGACCGAUUAUGUUGACCAUAAGUUCAGGGAACGUGAAUUUUCGUAAAU